rnacentral:rRNA from 1 species
GACGAACGCUGGCGGCGUGCUUAACACAUGCAAGUCGAACGGAAAGGCCCUGCUUUUGUGGGGUGCUCGAGUGGCGAACGGGUGAGUAACACGUGAGUAACCUGCCCUUGACUUUGGGAUAACUUCAGGAAACUGGGGCUAAUACCGGAUAGGAGCUCCUGCUGCAUGGUGGGGGUUGGAAAGUUUCGGCGGUUGGGGAUGGACUCGCGGCUUAUUAGCUUGUUGGUGGGGUAGUGGCUUACCAAGGCUUUGACGGGUAGCCGGCCUGAGAGGGUGACCGGCCACAUUGGGACUGAGAUACGGCCCAGACUCCUACGGGAGGCAGCAGUGGGGAAUAUUGCACAAUGGGCGGAGGCCUGAUGCAGCAACGCCGCGUGCGGGAUGACGGCCUUCGGGUUGUAAACCGCCUUCGCCUGUGACGAAGCGUGAGUGACGGUAAUGGGUAAAGAAGCACCGGCUAACUACGUG